UUACUACUUCCUCCGUCCAAAAAUACUUAUCAUUAAAAUGGACAAAAAGGGAUGGAUCUAGAACUAAAAUACAUCUAGAUACAUCCCCUUUUAUUUAUUUUGAUGACAAGUAUUUCUGGGCGGAGGGAGUACAUC
rfam:Triticum aestivum genome assembly, contig: Triticum_aestivum_CS42_TGACv1_scaffold_641220_T_4AS-0.174429_4AL-0.139761